rnacentral:piRNA from 1 species
UGACGGAUCAGGCAGCAGUCCCCU